ACACCUCAACUCUCACGGUUUCCCGUGGUGAGCUUGGACUUGGGAGUUUUGUUGGCCUCUGUGGGCCAGCUCUCCUCAAAUGAAUUAGCUUGCCGGUGUCUGGCGGCAUCAUGGGUGUGAUAACCAUCUACGCUUGUGAAUGUCUGCGAGGUAAACCUCUGGUCUGCGGAGGUUCGCCGGAGCUUUAUAGGCGUCUCUCCUUGGCGAAGACAGCAGUUUGAA
rnacentral:misc_RNA from 1 species